CGACUUUGUGAAAUGACU
rnacentral:snRNA from 1 species